rnacentral:tRNA from 1 species
GCUGAGGUGGCAGAGUGGUUAACGCGCAGGCUUGGAGAGCCUGUUCCUUUCGGGGAGCAUGGGUUCAAAUCCCAUCCUCAGCG